rnacentral:rRNA from 1 species
AUUGAACGCUGGCGGCAGGCCUAACACAUGCAAGUCGAGCGGAUGAAUGGAGCUUGCUCCUGGAUUCAGCGGCGGACGGGUGAGUAAUGCCUAGGAAUCUGCCUGGUAGUGGGGGAUAACGUCCGGAAACGGGCGCUAAUACCGCAUACGUCCUGAGGGAGAAAGUGGGGGAUCUUCGGACCUCACGCUAUCAGAUGAGCCUAGGUCGGAUUAGCUAGUUGGUGGGGUAAAGGCCUACCAAGGCGACGAUCCGUAACUGGUCUGAGAGGAUGAUCAGUCACACUGGAACUGAGACACGGUCCAGACUCCUACGGGAGGCAGCAGUGGGGAAUAUUGGACAAAGGGCGAAAGCCUGAUCCAGCCAUGCCGCGUGUGUGAAGAAGGUCUUCGGAUUGUAAAGCACUUUAAGUUGGGAGGAAGGGCAGUAAGUUAAUACCUUGCUGUUUUGACGUUACCAACAGAAUAAGCACCGGCUAACUUCGUG